AAUUGUUUCCAUUUCCACUCAUCACCUACUUAUUCACUUGAUGGAAAGGUUCAGCAACGUUUCCUCCGAACUUCUUAGGAAAAUUAGCAACACGAUUUUUCGAUUUUAAAGGAGUACAGUGCAAUCUUUUUUAAGAACAUCAUACGGAUUUUUUCUUAUUCCAGGUAUGUUAAGGUUAAUCCUUCUUUCCUUGUUGGCAUGAUCGAAGUAACGAUACGUAAACAUAAUAAUAUUCCAUAAGUUGUUCUACUCUUAGCAGUUAAAAAUGUCUAUGCUAUUCAUUUCCGUAAAGUGAUAUUCAAGCAUGUCUAAGUAUGUUUUGUUUACUUUGAUUCUCUUUUAAAAAUCAAAAGGGUAGCUUUCAGUGCUCAAAAUACCCAGGUCACCCAUGUGAAAGGAUCAUAUUAUGGACAAAUUAAGGUUUUCCUGUUGUCUUAUCAUAUGCUGGGAAAUCAAGCACAACAUUUUCAUCUAAAUGGUCUUGAAGUUCCCAUUGAUGUGGAAAUCACGUAUUAGUAGAUAUUUUAAAUUUAUAUCUUCAUUUGGACAGAGACUGGACAUUGAUAUACAUCCAUAGGCUACAUAAUAUGUUAGCUAGUUUCUUGAAUGGCGCAAUUAAUUUUUCAACAGGGCUGGUCAUGUCCUUAUAUUGUUAGUGGUUAUAGUUAUUAAGAAAAGAAAAUAGGUAUGGACUCCCAUAAUGUCCCUCAUGAAGAGGUUUCUUACUGCAUUCUGAUUCCAAAAGGUAUGAUUUAAACUUAAAGUCAUAAAAAUUUUGCAGACUGCUAAAAGUAACACUAGAUAGGAUAUUGAGUUCCUAUUUGGUUUGUCUAGCGGUGUGACUAGUUGAAAUUUCUAAUAGCUUAACUUUGUGGCUCCCUCAAUUAACUGAUUUUUGGAAGAAAAUGAAUGGGACUAGAUGUUAAUUUUUAUAAUACAGUAAUACAUGCAUCUUCAUGCAUAUGCAUUGACCCCCGAGUUACGGCCGAUCGAGCAGUCAUGCAUUUACCACCGAGCUACGGUCGAUUGGGCAGUUACAUAUUUACCACCGUGCUACAGCCGGUUGGGCAGACAUGCAUUUACCACCGGGCUACGGCCGGUGGGGCAGUUACCACCGGUUAGGCAGUUAUGUAUCAUUAUUUACCACCGGUUGGGCAGUCAUACAUUUACCACCGUGCGACGGCCGAUCGGACAGUUAUCACUGAUCAGUUGGGCAGUCAUGCAUCAUACGAUAUGGAUAAUAGAAAUAGUCUUAAAGAGAAGCAUUAUAUAUAUAGGUAUUAUAAGUAUGCAGAUAAGGUGGCACUUCUAGAUUUAGGUUGAUUCUUAUAUGUCUUUAAUUGAUGUUGACUUAUUGUUAUGUGUCAGUUCUGCCUUACAUGCUCAGCACAUUAUUCGUACUGACGUCCUUUUGUUGGGGACGUUGCAUUCAUGCCUGCAGGUAUAGAUAAUCAGAUUGACAAGUCCUCACACAGUAGACGAGGUUUGCAUUCAGCGAAGGAUCGGUAGGACUCCACCUCAUUCGGAGUGCAGCCGAGUCUAUGAGUUAUCGUGUCAGCCUGUUUCUACAGACUUAUGGGUAGGCCGGUACCCUAUCCCAUUUGAUGUCAAACAAUCUUAGAGGUUUUGUAGACAGAGGUUCAGUUUGUACAGUAUGUUAGAGGCCUUGAUGGCCCAUAUGUAUUCAUGUUUUAAGAAAAAUGGUUCAGUAAUAUAAUGUUGUACACUUACAAUUAUACAUUACGAGUUGUGGCUAUGUUGGCCCAUGAUAGUUACAAAAAGAAUGAAUGAAUUACAGAGUGAUUCGCUCGGGCCAGUGCGAUACCGGGUGACAGCCACGCCUCCCAAGGUUGGAGCGUGACAAAGUGGUAUCAGAGUGGGUCGUGUCCUAGGGAGUCUACAAAGAGUCUAUGGGUGUGUUGCGCGCCACAUUUAUAAUUGAGAGGUUAUAGGGCCUUUAGGAAAUGUUACCCUUCUUUUGGUUCCAAAUCAUGCCAUGGAGCUGAGUUGUAAGAAGUCAGUAUGAAGCUUUUGUCAGAUUUUGUAUGCACCAGAGGUGCAGAUAUCACAGUAGAGCUUUAAGGCGUAAUGUGGAAGGGAGGUUAUGCAAAAAACAACAGAUACGAUGCAAGAUUGAAAGGUAAGUAAGGUAAAGGUGAAAAAGAUACGACAUACUCGAGUACAAAAGGUUGUGAAUAGUCAAGACUUAUGAUAUCGUUUGGAUUUUAAGUUUAAUUUACCCUAGUGAAAAUUUUGCAAAUCUCCAAGAGUUAACAUUCGAGGACGAAUGUUCUAAACGGGGGAAGGAUGUUACACCCCGUAAGUUUAACAACAUUGAUAUCGUUAUAGAUAUUUGAUAUGGUAUUUUGAGUGGAACUUUUUUUCGAAAAAAA
rnacentral:lncRNA from 1 species